rnacentral:rRNA from 1 species
CGGAUCGUAAAGCUCUGUUGUUAGGGAAGAACAAGUACCGUUCGAAUAGGGCGGUACCUUGACGGUACCUAACCAGAAAGCCACGGCUAACUACGUGCCAGCAGCCGCGGUAAUACGUAGGUGGCAAGCGUUGUCCGGAAUUAUUGGGCGUAAAGGGCUCGCAGGCGGUUUCUUAAGUCUGAUGUGAAAGCCCCCGGCUCAACCGGGGAGGGUCAUUGGAAACUGGGGAACUUGAGUGCAGAAGAGGAGAGUGGAAUUCCACGUGUAGCGGUGAAAUGCGUAGAGAUGUGGAGGAACACCAGUGGCGAAGGCGACUCUCUGGUCUGUAACUGACGCUGAGGAGCGAAAGCGUGGGGAGCGAACAGGAUUAGAUACCCUGGUAGUCCACGCCGUAAACGAUGAGUGCUAAGUGUUAGGGGGUUUCCGCCCCUUAGUGCUGCA